GAAUGCCGCGAGACUUUGCAAGGCACCUCCGUGUGCUAAAAAUAGGCCGCGGGCACAGCCACGCCUAAAAAUAACCACCCGAAGGCCGGGGCGCCAAGUUCGUCAAGCGGAAAAAGGCCACAAAAACGGUUGGGCUAUAGCCUUGGGGGGUGGGGCUGGCCCACUUUGUCCGCCGGACUCGGAAUCGCGCGAGACUUUGCGAGGCGCCUCCGUGUGCCAAAAAUAGGCCGCGGGUACAGUCACACCCAAAAAUAAACUCCCGAAGGCCGGGGCGCCAAGUUCGUCCAGCGGAAAAAGGCCACAAAAACGGGUGGGCUAUAGCCUUGGGGGGUGGGGCUGGCCAACUUCGUCCGCCGGACUCGGAAUGCCGCGAGACUUUGCGAGGGGCCACCACGUGCCAAAAAUACAUCGUGGGUAAAGCCGUGCCCAAAAAAUAACCUCCCGAAGGCAGGGGGGCCAAGUUCGUCCAGAGGAAAAAGGCCACAAAAACGGGUGGGCUAUAGCCUUGGGGGGUGGGGCUGGCCAGCUUCGUCCGCCGCACUCGGAAUACCGCAAGACUUUGUGAGGGGCUUCCGUGUGCCAAAAAUAGGCCACGGUUAAAGCCGUGCCCAAAAAUAACUGCCCGAAGGCCGGGGCGCCAAGUUCGUCCAGCGGAAAAAGACCACAAAAACGGGUGGGCUAUAGCCUUGGGGGGUGGGGCUGGCCAAGUUCGUCCGCCGGACUCGGAAUGCCGCGAGACUUUGUGAGGGGCCUCCGUGUGCCAAAAAUAGGCCGCGGGCAAAGCCGCGCCCAAAAAUAACCGCCCGGAGGCCGGGGCGCCAAGUUCGUCCAGCGGAAAAAGGCCACAAAAACGGUUGGGCUAUAGCCUUGGGGGGUGGGGCUGGCCCACUUCGUCCGCCGGACUCGGAAGGCCGCGAGACUUUUCGAGGGGCCUCCGUGUGCCAAAAAUAGGCCACGGGCCCAGCCGCACACAAAAAUAACUGCCCGAAGGCCGGGGCGCCAAGUUCGUCCAGCGGAAAAAGGCCACAAAAACGGGUGGGCUAUAGCCUUGGGGGGUGGGGCUGGCCAACUUCGUCCGCCGGACUCGGAAUGGCGCGAGUCUUUGCGAGGCACCUCCGUGUGCCAAAAAUAGGCCGCGGGAACAGCCGUGCCCAAAAAUAACCGCCCGAAGGCCGGGGCGCCAAGUUCGUCCAGCGGAAAAAGGCCACAAAAACGGGUGGGCUAUAGCCUUGGGCGGUGGGGCUGGCCAACUUUGUCCGCCGGACUCGGAAUGCCGGGAGACUUUGCGAGGGGCCUCCGUGUGCCAAAAAUAGGCCACGGGCAAAGCCGCGCCCAAAAAUAACGGCCCGAAGGCCGGGGCGCCAAGUUCGUGCAGCGGAAAAAGGCCACAAAAACGGGUGGGCUAUAGCCUUGGGGGGUGGGGCGUGCCAACUUCGUCCGCCGGACUCGGAAUGCCGCGAGACCUUGCGAGGGGUCUCCGUGUGCCAAAAAUAGGCCACGGGCAAAGCCGCGCCCAAAAAUAACGGCCCGAAGGCCGGGGCGCCAAGUUCGUCCAGCGAAAAAAGGCCACAAAAACGGGCGGGCUAUAGCCUUGGGGGGUGGGGCUGGCCAACUUCGUCCGCCGGACUCGGAAUGCCGCGAGACUUUGCGAAGCGCCUCCGUGUGCCAAAAAUAGGCCGCGGACAAAGCCGCGACCAAAAAUAACCGACCGAAGGCCGGGGCGCCAAGUUCGUCCAGCGGAAAAAGGCCACAAAAACGGGUGGGCUAUAGCCUUGGGGGGUGGGGCUGGCCAACUUCGUCCGCCGGACUCAGAAUGCCGGGAGACUUUGCGAGGGGCCUCCUUGUACCAAAAAUAGGCCGCAGGCAAAACCACGCCCAAAAAUAACCGCCCGAAGGCCGGGGCGCCAAGUUCGUCCAGCGGAAAAAGGCCACAAAAACGGGUGGGCUAUAGCCUUGGGGGUGGGGCUGGCCAAUUUCGUCCGCCGGACUCGGAAUGGCGCGAGACUUGGCGAGGCACCUCCGUGUGCCAAAAAUUGGCCGCGGAAAAAGCCGCGCCCAAAAAUAACCGCCCGGAAGCCGGGGCGCCAAGUUCAUCCAGCGGAAAAAGGCCAGAAAAACGGGUGGGCUAUAGCCUUGGGGGGUGAGGCUGGCCCACUUCGUCCGCCGGACUUGGAAUGGGGCGAGACGUUGCAAGGCACCUCCGUGUGCCAAAAAUAGGCCGCGGGCACAGCCGCGCCCAAAAAUAACCGCCCGAAGGCCGGGGCGCCAAGUUCGUCCAGCGGAAAAAGGCCACAAAAACUGGUGGGCUAUAGCGUUGGGGGGUGGGGCUGGCCAACUUUGUCCGCCGGAUUCGGAAUGGCGCGACACUUUGCGAGCCACCACUGUGUACCAAAAAUAGGCCGCGGGCACAGCCGCGCCCAAAAAUAACCUCCCGAAGGCCUGGACGCCAAGUUCGUCCAGGAAAAAGGCCACAAAAACGGGUGGGCUAUAGCCUUGGGGGGUGGGGCUUGCCAACUUCGUCCGCCGGACUCGGAAUGGAGAGAGACCUUGCGAGGUGCCUCCGUGUGCCAAAAAUAGGCCGCGGGCACAGCAGUGCUCAAAAAUACCCACCCGAAGGCCGGGGCGCCAAGUUCGUCUAGCGGAAAAAGGCCACAAAAACGGGUGGGCUAUAGCCUUGGGGGGUGGUGCUGGCCAACUUCGUCCGCCGGACUCCGAAUGCCGCGAGACUUUACGAGGGGCCUCCGUGUGCCAAAAAUAGGCCGCGGGCAAAGCCGCGCCAAAAAAUAACCGCCCGAAGGCCGGGGCGCCAAGUUCGUCCAACGGAAAAAGGCCACAAAAACGGGUGGGCUAUAGCCUUGGGGGGUGGGGCGGGUCAACUUCGUCCGCCGGACUCGGAAUGCCGCGAGACAUUACGAGGGGCCUCCGUGUGCCAAAAAUAGGCCGCGGGGAAAGCCGCGCCCAAAAAUAACCGCCCGAAGGCCGGGGCGCCAAGUUCGUCCAGCGGUAAAAGGCCACAAAAACGGAUGGGCUAUAGCGUUGGGGGGUGGGGCUGGCCAACUUCGUCCGCCGGACUCGGAAUGGCGCGAGACUUUGCGAGGCACCUCCAUGUGUCAAAAAUAGGCCGUGGGCAUAGCCGCGCCCAAAAAUAACCACCCGAAGGCCGGGGCGCCAAGUUCAUCCAGCGGAAAAAGGCCACAAAAACGGGUGGGCUAUAGCCUUGGAGGGUGGUGUUGGCCAACUUCGUCCGCCGGACUCGGAAUGGCGCGAGCCUUUGCGAGGCACCUCCGUGCGCCAAAAAUAGGCCAAGGACUCAGCCGCGCCCAAAAAUAACCGCCCGAAGGCCGGGACGCCAAGUUCGUCCAGCGGAAAAAGGCCACAAAAACGGGUGGGCUAUAGCCUUGGGGGGUGCGGCUGGCCAACUUCGUCAGCCGGACUCGGAAUGGCGUGAGACUUUGAAAGGCACCUCCGUGUGCUAAAAAUAGUCCGCGGGCACAGCCGCACCCAAAAAUAACCACCCGAAGGCCGGGGCGCCAAGUUCGUCCAGCGGAAAAAGGCCACAAAAACGGGUGGGCUAUAGCCUUGGGGGGUGGGGCUCGCCAACUUCGUCCGCCGGACUCGGAAUGGAGAGAGACCUUGCGAGGUGCCUCCUUGUGCCAAAAAUAGGCCGCGGGCACAGCAGUGCUCAAAAAUACCCGCCCGAAGGCCGGGGCGCCAAGUUCGUCUAGCGGAAAAAGGCCACAAAAACGGGUGGGCUAUAACCUUGGGGGGUN
rnacentral:lncRNA from 1 species